CCUAACAAUAGUUAAUUUAUCUAUUUCUCUCUGAUAAGACAACAGAAAAACAUGAGGGUCCAAUUCCACUGAAGUAUCCAAAUAAUGUCACUUGACUUCCCUUAAUUUUAGAAUUGGUACUUCCAAAACAGAGAAUUUGGAUGUAUUAAAGUCCAUAGUGCUUUAUGCAACAAAGUUUAAAAUCAAUCCCAAAGUAAACUUAAACAAUCAAAAUAUAUUGCUCAACCUAGUAAGUAAGAAAUCAUCCUCAACUUUGUUAUUUCUUGUUUUGAUAGGUACUUACAAUGACAGAUUUAAAAUACACCCCAAGCAGCAGGCGUUUCAUUUCUACUAAAUACCCUGCAGCAGGCGUUUCAUUUCUAGUAAGUAGAGGCAAACAAACUGAAAGUAUCAGACACCAUAUUAAGCAUAAGUUACAUAAAAUACAUUUAAGAUUUGUGGCCUCAAAAUGCUGUAUAAUUUUGCCCACGUGCCUCUUUGGAAUUGCAGCAUCAUAAAUCCUUCAAAAUAUUUUUGUUACGAACAAAUUUGUUUUUUUAGUGAGCAAGUGACCCUGACCGCAUUGACACAAUAAUAACAUUAACAGUUUUAAGCUCAAAUUCAAAUUAACAAAAGGAAACACGUACAAUGAAAAUCAAAUCUACAUAAGCCUAUUAUAAAGCUAACCAAAAAUACUUUUUAAAUACAAAAUGUUUUUUCCUUAGAUUCAGAUGCUAGGCUGCAUCAGGAUCUAUAACCAAUAAUUACGGUAUUCACAUAUAACCAAGAAAGUACUGAAUCAGAAAAAACGGUAAAUAUAAAAUCGGAUCUGAUCGACAUGAAUUAAGAAAGCAAUAAAAGUUACUGGCUAUAGAAAGUAGGAGCAGAGAUCUGUCGCCGGAAAACCACCGCGGUCUCCGAUUCAGUUGAUGCAAGGCGGGAUCCAAUUCGCCGCCGACAAUCGACACUCAUUACACGCGAAAGUAGCAGCAGCGGUUCCCGACCUGCACCAAGCGAAUUAGAGACCGCGCGGUGAGAAUAUCAAUACCGUUCUCUCUCUCUCUCUUAAAUCUCAGAGGAAGAGAAAGAAACGUAAAAGAAAACUAAACUCAAAC
rnacentral:lncRNA from 1 species